AAUUAUAUUGUUAUGCAGUUUAAGCAACUGUUUUUAUCACUUUAUGUUCCCUGUUUAACAGGGCACAUUAAGUGACAAAUACAGUUUGUUAUUUUCUUGUCUGUUAAUUUCUGUCGGAAAAUAACAGACAAGAAUAUAAUAUUUUAAAAUAAAAUUUUAAUUCAACACCUUCAAAAUUAUGGAUAGCAAAAAUAUAAAAAAUUAUGGAUAACAGUGUUAUCCAUAAUUUUGAAGGUGUACAUCCAUAUUUUUCUUUUUCAUUUACAAAUAUUUUUCAUAUUGUUUGUUAGAACUAGUAUAUUUUUAGAUGUCUAAAGUUAAACUUCCUCAAUCAGAUGUCGAUCUUCUGAUGACUUAUUUUUCUGUACCAGUUAUACAAUUGCUCAAUAGAGUUAGUAAUGUUUUUGUUUUGAAAGAACUGAAGAAUGCACUAACUCAAUUUUCAUCAUUAAAGGUUAUUGAUAACGACCAUUUUGGUAAAAGGGAGUUCUUCUCACGACUCAACAUUACUUUAAAAAAUCUCUAUCCUGAGUUCAAGGAUGAUUGGAUAAAAGGGGGAGGCGAUACAAUGCUCCAUUAACUAAAAAUAUAAAUACUUUGAUGCAUCUUGUAAUGUGGUUGGAGUGGCGGGGGAGGGAACGGCAGCGAGGGUUUACGCCCCUCACCCUAAGUCAAUGUGUAUAUACCAUUAGUGUAUGUUAUAAAGAAGUGAAUUAUAAUUUUUUGUAUUUUA